AUUGAACGCUGGCGGCAGGCUUAACACAUGCAAGUCGAGCGCGCGGCGGACGGGUGAGAAUUGUAUGUGGAUCUGUCGCAUAGAGGGGGAUAAAUACUGGAAACAGUAUCUAAUAUCGCAUACUAUCUGAUGAACCCCUAUGGGAUUAGCUAGUAGGUGGGGUAAUGGCUCACCACGACGACGAUCCCUCGCUGGUCUGAGAGGAUGACCAGCCACACUGGGACUGAGACACGGCCCAGACUCCUACGGGAGGCAGCAGUGGGGAAUAUUGCGCAAUGGGCGCAAGCCUGACGCAGCCAUGCCGCGUGAAUGAAGAAGGCCCGCGGGUUGUAAAGUACUUUCAGUGGGGAGGCGUUAACGACAGAAGAAGCACCGGCUAACUCCGUGCCAGCAGCCGCGGUAAUAC
rnacentral:rRNA from 1 species